rnacentral:rRNA from 1 species
UACGGGGGGUGCGAGCGUUGUCCGGAAUCAUUGGGCGUAAAGGGCGCGUAGGUGGCCCGGUCAGUCAGUGGUGAAAGCGCGGGGCUCAACUCCGCGUCGGCCAUUGAUACUGCUGGGCUUGAGCACUGUAGAGGCAGGCGGAAUUCCGGGUGUAGCGGUGGAAUGCGUAGAGAUCCGGAAGAACACCGGUGGCGAAGGCGGCCUGCUGGGCAGUGGCUGACACUGAGGCGCGACAGCGUGGGGAGCAAACAGG